rnacentral:lncRNA from 1 species
GUGCAUAUGGGAUUUCUGACCAUUUGCCCUGCCUCUUGCAAAAUAGGUCUAAUGGCAGGAUGGUGUCAUAAUUAAGGCUACCAAGACUGCCCAUUGUUCCAGGCUGGGCAGUUCAUAAUGGGGGCAGACAAUAGUGCAAAAAAAAUUUUACAUUUUAUCUUUAGAGUGUCAGGGUCAAAUUGAUUUCCAUGGUUGAGGAUGUAGCCAAGUGUGGAAUCAGGUGGAAUAGGUGGAGAGUUGCCCAUAGUGGUUUGGAAAAGAGAAGAGGACUUUGAAAAGUGGAGGGCUCAUUAGGUGACCCAAAUUUUACCUGGGGCAUCCCCCCUUUAGGGCCCCAACUUAGUCUGUCAGACAUCUCUGACCUUAGAUGGGUGCUGGCACCACUUUGGAAUGGUUCCCUCCAUCACUGAGGACCUGACUUAAAGUUUUUCUAUCUCACUUAAAACAACCCUUUAACGCUCUCAACUUAGGCAAUAAUAAAUUCCUUUUCAUGAAUUCCCUCCACCACCAUGCACCACACAGACCACAUGCCCGGACCCUCUGACUUGUGUAACCUUUUGUGCAUAGCUAGGUGGGUUUUCUGUCCUUUGCCAGUUGGGUGGGAGAAGGGAAGAAUUUAGCAUAAAUAAAAGCAGCAUAAGUCACCUGAAACCUGUGAGUUUGCCCUGGACGAGCUGCUGCUGCUAACUGCAUCACACAUAGGGAUCAGGGAUUAUAACUGAAAAGGACAGAAAUGAGUCUUUUCCCUUUCUGGGCAGGGCAGCCAUCCCUGUUCACUCCUUGGCCUUCAGAGGAUACCAGAGAGUGGCCCCAGUCAGUUCCCCUCAAUUACCAACGAGCUACUAGGAAACGGCCGCUGAAAGACUGAAAAAGGAGAAAAGGAAAAUAACUCAGAAAAAAAAAAAAAGGAAUAGGACUCAGAAAAACAAAAACGAGGAAAAGGACUCAGGUUCCUCACCUUAACCAAG